rnacentral:rRNA from 1 species
AGGACGAACGCUGGCGGCGUGCCUAACACAUGCAAGUCGUGCGAGAAAUUCCCCUUCGGGGGGAGAGUACAGCGGCGCACGGGUGAGUAACGCGUAAGUUAUCUGCCCUUUGGUCUGGCAUAACUCCGGGAAACCGGGCUAAUUCCAGAUGAUGUCGCAAGACCAAAGCCUUCGGGCGCCAAAGGAUGAGCUUGCGUCCCAUUAGCUAGUUGGUAGAGUAAUAGCCUACCAAGGCGACGAGUGGGUAGCCGGUCUAGAGAGGAUGAUCACGCCACAGUUGGACUGAGACCACGGCCCAGACCUCCGUACGGGAGCAGCAGUGAGGAA